GACGAACGCUGGCGGCGUGCUUAACACAUGCAAGUCGAACGGAAAGGCCAUGCUUUUGUGGGGUGCUCGAUUGGCGAACGGGUGAGUAACACGUGAGUAACCUGUCCUUGACUUUGGGAUAACUUCAGGAAACUGGGGAUAAUACCGCAUAGGAUCUCCUGCUGCAUGGUGGGGGUUGGAAAGAUUCGGCGUUUGUGGAUGGACUCGCAGGUUAUGAGCUUCUUGGUGGGGUAGUGGCUUACCAAGGUUUUGACGGAUAGCCGGCCUGGGAGGGUGGCCGGCCACAUUGGGACUGCGAGAGGGAGCAGACGCGUACGGGAGGCAGCAGUGGGGAAUAUUGCACAGUGGGGGGGAGCCUGAGGCAGCAGCGCCGCGUGCGGGAUGACGGCCUUCGGGUUGUAAACCGAUGUCGCAUGUGACGAAGCGUGAGUGACGGUAAUGGGUAAAGAAGCACCGGCUAACUACGUG
rnacentral:rRNA from 1 species